AACGAACGCUGGCGGCAUGCCUAACACAUGCAAGUCGAACGAGACCUUCGGGUCUAGUGGCGCACGGGUGCGUAACGCGUGGGAACCUGCCCUUAGGUUCGGAAUAACUCCCCGAAAGGGGUGCUAAUACCGGAUAAUGUCUUCGGACCAAAGAUUUAUCGCCUUUGGAUGGGCCCGCGUUGGAUUAGCUAGUUGGUAGGGUAAAAGCCUACCAAGGCGACGAUCCAUAGCUGGUCUGAGAGGAUGAUCAGCCACACUGGGACUGAGACACGGCCCAGACUCCUACGGGAAGCAGCAGUGGGGAAUAUUGGACAAUGGGCGAAAGCCUGAUCCAGCAAUGCCGCGUGAGUGAUGAAGGCCUUAGGGUUGUAAAGCUCUUUUAUCCGGGAUGAUAAUGACAGUACCGGGAGAAUAAGCGCCGGCUAACUCCGUG
rnacentral:rRNA from 1 species